rnacentral:rRNA from 1 species
UGGCUCAGAGCGAACGCUGGCGGCAGGCCUAACACAUGCAAGUCGAGCGCCCAGCAAUGGGAGCGGCAGACGGGUGAGUAACACGUGGGGAUCUACCCAAUGGUACGGAAUAACCCAGGGAAACUUGGAUUAAUACCGUAUGUGCCCUUCGGGGGAAAGAUUUAUCGCCAUUGGAUGAACCCGCGUCGGAUUAGCUAGUUGGUGAGGUAAAGGCUCACCAAGGCGACGAUCCGUAGCUGGUCUGAGAGGAUGAUCAGCCACACUGGGACUGAGACACGGCCCAGACUCCUACGGGAGGCAGCAGUGGGGAAUAUUGGACAAUGGGCGCAAGCCUGAUCCAGCCAUGCCGCGUGAGUGAUGAAGGCCUUAGGGUUGUAAAGCUCUUUCGCCGGUGAAGAUAAUGAC